GACAACCCUUGUGUGGAGUUUGAUGAAGAAGUGACAUCAGGAUUAUAUUCUUGUAUAGAUAGAUUAGUUUCCGACAUUGAUGUGCAAGAUAAGAUCAUUCGUGAGUUGUCGACUUAUAAGAAUGCAGAGGGUCUCUUCGGUAUUCGAAUAGCCAUUAGAUCAAGGAAGAUGUUAGCUCCAGCUGAAUGGUGGAAACUAUAUGGCAACACAACCCCAAAUUUACAACAACUAGCCAUAAAGAUUCUUAGCUUGACUUGUAGUGCAUCAAGUUGUGAACGUAAUUGGAGUGUGUUUGAGCACGUAAGUAUUUAAUACUUUGUUGAUUAUAUAAUAUGUAAAUUUAUAACAUUAGAAAUUUUAUCAGUUAAGUAACUUAAGUUGUUAUAACUAAUAUAGCUUGUGUAACAUUUACUAAUAAAUGUUUACAGAUUCAUACCAAGAAGAGGAACAAACUAGAGCAAAAACAGCUAAAUGACUUGGUGUUUGUUAAAUACAACCAAGCUCUUAAAGGACGAUAUGAUAGAUGCAAUGUCAUUGACCCCAUCUCAUUAGUAGAUAUUGAUGAAAGUAAUGAGUGGUUGAUUGGAAAAAUAAGUGAAGAAGACACCACCAUUCAUGCGGAGGAUGACUUGGUUUUUGAGGAUGAUAGCUUGACAUGGGGUGUAGUGGCAAGUGCAUUAGGUGUUGGAGAUGCAAAUAUUUCCACUAGACUUCGACCAAGAUCAAAGACAAGUUUAAAGGGGGAUUUAGUGGCUGCUACUUCACAACGUGAUUUUGAAGAGAAAGAGAGCAAUUUAGAGGACAUUGAAGAGGAUGAUAAUGAGAUGGAGGGAUACCAAUCUAGUCUUGAUGAAAGUGAUGACAAUUUUAAUUUUAAUGAUGACUACAACGGUGAUGCUUAAAGCUUCUUUAGGACGUUCAUUAUCUUGUUUUGUUUCUUAUUUUAAUUUUUGGAUGUUUGGAACAUUAGAAUAUGCAUAUGGAUAUGAUGAAUUUAUCUAAAUAUAUGACUUUUCUUAUGAUUUGGGGUAUUAUAUUUAACACUUUGAAUGAUUAUUACUAUUUUCCUAAUUUUAUAAGCCAUUAGAGGGGAUGAAAAUUUAGUAGUAUUGAAUAUUGAAGAAUAUUUAUUUUGGUUGAGUAUAGAAUAGGUAAAAUGGUAAAUAUAUAUACUAUUUUAUUGCCUUAUUAUAGUUAGGCGAUCACCUUAAUUUUCACCUUUCGCCUUAGGCUAAAAGGAGUCCUAUCGCCUUGGCAUCACCUUUUGCCUUUGACAACACUGAUCUUGAUCUCUAAAAGAACAUCAAUGCCCAAAUUCCUAGGUUGUAGUGGAAGCACCCAUGAACAUAUGUGAUAUACCUAGACUCCUCAACUUCACCCAAUGUACUGUGUUGACACAAUGUGACAAGGGUGUGGGGAUCCUUGAUGAAUAAACUUAUUUUGCUUUAGAUAUUCACUAUUUUGAUUUUUCAUUUUCCUUUUCCAAAAAUGAGAAAAAGAGAGUGAUUUUUUUUUUUUUGAAUAUAUCAAUGUUUUUUUUUUUUUUUUUUUUUCCCUUUAUUAUGUUAUUUGCAAGUACCUUUCAGCUAAGUUCCCAUAUUUGAGACGUGAAGGAUCAGAUGUCUAUACAUACCUGACACCUACCAUUUGACAUCUGACACCUAUAACUAAACCUGUGUAGCAUAGUGAUGCGGGACAAGGAAGUGAAAUACAAGGGGAGGGUAGAUGUUUGGUAUCACUGAAAGAACUCUAGAAUUACUCCUAGAGACCUUUAGGCUUCACACCUAGGUGCUUUUUUUACCACACAAAAAUAGUGGAUGUUGGAAAUUUUAUCAUUCAUUCAUUGAUUUCUUUCAAAUUAAAACUUCUCUAGAGACUUAUAACUCCUUGUAACUAUUCACAUAGUUGUAAUGUAGCUUGACAAUAGCCUAAACCUGGAUUGACUACUGGACCAAAUUAAAAGACUUUUGGAAAAUGAUGACUUUUUUUUUUUAUAGGAAACGACAAUGGAAUAUAUUAAAGAAAAAAGAAGUACAAGAGAAGGAUGAGGAAUCCUCCCACCAAAGAAAACUAAACUACAAGAAUAUGAAAACAAAUAAAUACAAUGUAAUAACAAACAAAUACUCUAGACUAGACCAACCCAAAGGAAUUACACGCCGCUUGCCAAUCAAGUUGUAACACAAUAAGGGGAGUCCCCUUAAAGACCUUGGAACAAAAAGCCCAAAGAGAAGCAAGGAAAUGAAUAGAAUCCCAAAGAUUCUCUGAAUUCCUUGCUUUAGCCUCAAAGAUCCUCGUGUUUCUUUCCCGCCACACAACCCAAAUUAUAGCUAUGCACGCAGCUUGCCACAAAAUUGCCCCUCUCUUAGAUAAACCAAAACCAUUGUAAUUGAUGGACAACAUAUCAGAAAUGCUCCUCGAGGGAACCCGAUCCGUCUUGGCUAAUUGAAAUAAUCUGUGCCAUAACUCCAUCGUCAAAGAACAAUGUAGGAAAAGAUGAUAUGUUGGUUCUCCAUGUCUCAUGCAUAACUUACAAAUAUCCGGACUAGGAGCUUUGUAGGGUCUUCUCAAUUGUAGCAAGUCAUUAGUAUUUACUUUCUUGUGUGCCACCAACUAGACAAAAGACUUGACUUUGAAAGGGAUUUGAGAAUUCCAAACAAACUUAGUAGGGAAAAUUGGAGGAGAUUCAGAACAUUGGGAUAAGGCAAGAAAGAAAGAUUUGACUAGAAAAAGCCUUGAAGAAGAUAAAGACCAAGAUCUCACAUCUGAAACCAAAGAUAACAAAUGCAAACAAUCCGGUGACCGCAUGAGGCUUUCUAAAUCUUCUAUCUUAGAAUCGGAUAGGUUGCGACGAAAAUUAAAGUUCCAAGAUAAGGGACAAGUAGAUCCGAGGAUUGAAGAAAUAGAAAUAUUUUUAUCCGUGACUACUCUAAAUAGUCUUGGAUAUUGGGAUCCCAAAGGUUGGUCCCCCCACCACAAGUCUUCCUAGAACCGAAUUCUUUCCCCAUCUCCUACCAUAAACCGAAUAAACUUGGAAAACUCCUGAAAGACUUGUGCAAUUGCCUUCCAAGGACAACGAUGUGACCAUCUGACUAUGGUGUUGGCAUCCCAACCAUUAGAGUGUGAUCCGUAAAUGCUUAAAAUAACCUGAUGCCAUAGAGUUGAACCCUCGCUAGGGUACCUCCACAACCAUUUCCCUAAGAGAGCGACAUUCCUUAGAACAAUCUUUCCAAAUCCCAAGCCCCCUCUUGCCUUCGACUUACACACUACAUCCCAAUUAACAAGAUGAUCUCUUUUACCUUCCCCAACCCCUGACCAUAAAAAAUCCCUUUGCAAUCUCUCAAUUUUUGUAGCCACUGAAGCGGGUAUCUUAAACAAGGAAAGGAAGUAGCAAGGCAUGUGGGUGAGACAAGAUUGGAUAAGAGUUAUCCUACCUCCAAAAGAUAAAUAAGUCUUUUGCCACCCAUCUAAUCUUCUCAAGAUCCUCUCAAUCACCGGAUCCCAAAAGCCACAAGCCUUGGGAUUCCCUCCCAAAGGAAGACCCAAGUAGGGUAUAGGUCAACUAGAAGCCUUGCAAUCUAGCAACUCGGCCAACCUAGAAUGAUGAUUCUGUUCAAGAUUGAUGACAUUAAUGACUGAAAAUAAUUACUUAUGACUAUUGACUAAGCUCAUAAUCUUUUUUUCUAUAAAUCACUUCUAGGCAGAACCCAUAUUGAAUUGUAUAAGAUUCCAGCUAAAGCCAAUUAUCAUCCAAAGAAUGCCAAAUUAAAGCUUGGACCUCAUAGCCCAUUCUUUGCGCCUUUAGUAUACUUCUUUAGGUGGCUGCCACUUCUCUUCAUCACAUAGAUCAACAUUAAGUUUAAUCCAACCAGGAGUACAUCAUUGACAACUAGUAUUCCUCCCUUUAGAACUGGAACAAAUUGUUUUCCAACUCAUGGAUAUCAAAAUAAUUGUCAUACAACACUUUCCUUUGUUGUUGAAACCUGUGGGAAAGUCAAGAAACCAAUCUGGUCCUACAGAUCCCACAUAGAGUUUUAUUAUCCUCAGAAGAUUCUCCUGUUCCUUUCUAGCCAUCAAAUUUCCCACAAUGUGGCUAAUGCAUAAUGUGAUGGUACCAUAAAAGACUACAUCUAGAUUUACUGCUGAAACUCUGAAAGGAGAUGAUUGAAGGAGAUGCUUAAGAAGAAUCCAAAAAAGGAAAGUAAAAAUAAUUUACCCAACACUAGCAUGGUUUCUCCACUUCUUGGCUUCUACAACAUCAUCUCUCUCUCCUGUUCCCUUUAUUAGCAAAGGCUUUCUGGCAAAGUAUAGUAGGUUGAUGCUCUCUAUUAUGAUGAUUCUUAUUUCAAGAGUAGACAUGAAGUUUAGUUUGAGGUUGAUACAGUAUUGUUACACUAAAAUCACCCUAAUCUGUUAUGCUGAAAUUGUUGAAAUCUUCCAGAAUGUCUUUAUUCAUUUUUAAUUUUGUUCAAUGGAUGCUAGAUAUUGGCACUAGGUUUACACCAAUAUCUGUAUCUAUCUAUCUAUGUAUAUAUUAUGUAAUAUUUUCCAAUAUUGUAAAUGUGUAUAUAAACAUAUAAGGUCAUGUUUGGUUGGUUGGAUAUAACAUGAGAUAGAAUAAGAGAUGAGAUAACCUAUUCUAUGUUUGGUUGACAAUGAGAUAUAGUAUAAUAUAUCCAUGGAAUGAUCAAAAUAAGGUGUCACUGUAGAACUCAAACCUGGGGAAUGGUAUUCGCUUUUCAACUAAAAAUCAGCUUAUGAUGUUAUAGAACCAAAUCACAUAGUUAAAAGUUGGAUCUUGGUUUAUGCUGAUGCAAGUUGCACCCGCAUUCUCUGCAUAUUGUCCUGUAAUUUUAUUUUAUUUCCGUCCUUGCCAUUCAUACGAUUUCUUAAUGUCACCAACCAUUGGACCUUUUCCUUGGAUUGGGACUGAGCCAUAGUGUUUGAGAUCUAUUUACCACCAAAAUAGAUUCUGGACAUAUUGUGUCCCUUUCUUUCAUUCUUUCUUUCUUUCUUAUUUUUAAUUGUUUUUUUUUUCUUUGGUUGGGUUCUUUGUGAUUUUUAUGUUUGCGUUGUGUGUUGUGUAGUUUGUCCAUCCAUGCCUUUGAAUCUAUACUAGUUAAAUUUAAUUUAUUAUUUUCAGGAAAGUCAGUUGAUAGGAAUUAACUAUGUUUAAAGAUAGACAUCAGAUUAAUGGGAGAUAAUUUCAAAUUUUCGCCAUGAUCUGUUACACUAAAAAAUCUUUCCAGGUUUUGUAUUUAUUCAUUUUUAAUUUUGUUCAAUAGAUGCUAGAUAUUGGCACUAGGUUUAUGCCAGUAUAUAUAUUAUAUUAUAUUUUCCAUUACUGCAAAUAUGCAUAUAAACAUGUAAGGCCAUGUUUGGUUGAUUGGAUUUUUAUUUUUUUUAUUU